UUCCCGAGCGGCCAAAGGGAGCAGACUGUAAAUCUGCCGUCAUCGACUUCGAAGGUUCGAAUCCUUCCCCCACCA
rnacentral:tRNA from 1 species